UUCUGCAAUACUUGCCAUGUGAAAAUACAAUCAUGGUAAAUAUGGCUACAUUUGCAUAAUUUACAGUGAUAAUGACAAAUUGUGUCAUUUGUUUUCAGUAAUGCAGAUGCACAUUGCUUCAGAAGCGAUCUUCCCUCGACACCUAGGUCAAAAAUUAGAUUCUGACUCUUGAUCCCACUAAUGUUCUGCCAGCUGGCUUCACCAGGAUCAGAAUUUGGACCCCGGAACAACAUUCUUGGAUUUCUCAGUGUCCCUUUCCACUCAUAAGAUUGGAGCAAGUAUUCAUGAGUGUGAGGAGUCUGUUCAGAGCAUGGGAAUGUUCCAUAUCACACAUGCAUUCAGAAUGCUUGAUAUCUUGAAGGGAGAUGUUCCAAGAACUUGACUGUCCCAUUGAAACAAGCCGAUGCAUUUGGCAGCUCUAUAGGAAACACAACUUUGACCUUGCCAUCUAGAAGGAUGUCAUGUGGUGCUGCAUUAUAUCAACAUCACUUCAGAUCACCUGAAAUAGAGCCAAGCACUUCAGUGAUUGAACGCAUCAUAGCCUCUCUGUGUUUUAUUGGUUAUCAAAAUCUUCACCUUCUUUUAUAGGUCCACAUUUUGCCACCUCUAUAUUGAAUAGAACUGUAACCUACAAGAAGUCCUAUUGAUAUUGGGAUCAAGCUCUCAAUUUGCACUGUUACCAAGGUCAACAAAGCAGCUGUGUGAAGCCUUUCCUAAUAUCCAUGUUUUCUCAAGUAAAUGGUGUUACACUAAGGUAGCAGGUAACAAUGGAAGCAUGCAAACAAUAUGACACCACAGAAAAGUACUGUAAUGAGAACUACUUCCUAUUAAUGUGAUAUUGCUACAUGCUACAGAAGUGGCAGAUGGCUCGGUAGUACCAGUAUUUCCAUUCUGGAUAUAAAGUAAACAAAAAAUAAAUGCACCAUACAUCAGGA